CAUUGCGAAGCUUAGAGCGUUAACCUUUUAAGUUAAAGUUAGAGACAACAAAUCUCCACAAUGACCA
rnacentral:tRNA from 1 species